UACGGAGGAUGCAAGCGUUAUCCGGACUGAUUGGGCGUAAAGCGUCCGCAGGUGGCUAUGUAAGUCUGCUGUUAAAGAGUGAGGCUCAACCUCAUAAAAGCAGUGGAAACUACAUGGCUAGAGUGCGUUCGGGGCAGAGGGAAUUCCUGGUGUAGCGGUGAAAUGCGUAGAUAUCAGGAAGAACACCGGUGGCGAAAGCGCUCUGCUAGGCCGCAACUGACACUGAGGGACGAAAGCUAGGGGAGCGAAUGGG
rnacentral:rRNA from 1 species